GGAGGGAUGCCAGAGUGGACGAUUGGGACGGUCUCGAAAACCGUUGUGGCCAUACGGUCACCGGGGGUUCGAAUCCCUCUCCCUCCG
rnacentral:tRNA from 1 species